UGAAAAUCAAAUUUCGCACAAUUUAUGCCAUUAAGAAAAGGCUUAAGCUUUUUAUGCUUUUAUGUCGCUUUGGUGACCAACAGCCAUAUGAACCAGAUUUUUUACCGGUUUGUUUUAUAAAAGCACAUAUUUUAAUAUUGCUUUUAUCACCAAUUAAUUAAUUGUCUUUAAUUUAAAUGUUUUUAUGUUUUAAAUGAACUCUAAUGUUUUAUUGUUGACUAAAAGUCCUUCACAAAUGGUUCAUCUUUGUAAAACUGACCAAGACCUGGAAAACAAGACAAUAACCUUUACAUUUCUUUGUAGUGUUUGUUGGUUGGAUACAAUUGUGAAAAGAUUGUUGUUUAAUAUUAAUAAUCAAUUGAUUAUGAAUGAUGAUACAACAGGUACAAGAGUUAAUCAAUUCACCUGUGAAACUACAUGAAAUAGUAAACAGUUAGAUUCGGAAUAAAUUGAUUUCACUCGAAGUAACAACGGUGAAAGCAAACAGAUUGUUAUUAGAUCACAAUCUGGUGAAUAUUGUUGAUAUUGACAUUGAUACUGAUCUAGUGAUACACACACAGACAAAGUAAUCUAAUUAUUUUUUGGAUAAUAAUGGUUUUAUUUGAAUCCAGCAGCAUCAACUGCACAUAAAAAUUGAAACGAUCAAAGUGAAGUGACAAAAGUGUGUAUAAAAAAGAGUUGUCUGAAGAAGAAAAAGGUGAAAAGAUGAAGAAGAAGAAGACAAAUAACAAAAUAAUAUAACAGCUACAACAUAUUUCCAAGUCGAAUGAAGAGACAAAAAUUAAAGUCAAUGAAAGGCCGCCAUCUUCAACUCGAUAAUAAAGCAGGUGGAAAUAGAAGAGAACAAGAAACAACAAUUUGAUUUCCUGAGCUACUUAAAUUCAUUGGACUCAUGAUAACUCUGGUAUCUGUUCAAUCCUGUUGAAUUUUGUCCAACAAAAAUCAAGUCACGUUUAAAUGGAGAAACUCUCAACUUCAUCAUCUUCAUCACCAAUACUAUCAUCAUCGUCAUCAUCUUCAACAUGUUCAACAUUUGCUGUUCACAGUUGUUUGAGAGGCAAAACUCAAAGAAGCAAAUAAAGAUGGUUUUGAAUUUUUCAUGGACAAAAUAAUGAGUUUAAAAUGGUGUAUAAAAAUUCAAUGAAUAAUGAAUUUAAACAUGAAAAAUGGUAUCAACAAGGAGUCAAAAUUUUACCAAAAGUUACCUGUUCCAUUCAUUCCCAAGCAUUCAGUGGCUAAAACCAGCGUUUUAUCAUUCAAAAGACAUUCUCCAUUUUAUCUAAUAUAAUUACUGGCUUUACCUUUUAAAACCAACAAUUAUUAUCAAAGGAGUACCUGGAAUACAUUGUUUUGGUUGACCCAAUUUUCAGGUUGGCCCUGAAAAAAGACGAACCACCAAAAUGAAACACUUUUAAUCGUGAAAUCGUCUCUGGAUCUUUGGAUUACCUGAAAUGAGAUAAUUGAAUUAGGAAGAAAACGUUUGACCCACUAACUUUGAUGAAAAGGGAUGGCUUUUCAAGGGAAACUUGUUGACUCUAAUUCUGUUGAACAAUUAAUCUUUUGGGCUUUUGUUAAUCAGAAACAAUCUUACUCUGUCGUUUUAAGUUUCCAUCGCCUGAAACAAAAUAAUCAAAUGUUGAAAUAAUUACCUUUGAGAAUCACCUAAUCAUAAUCAAGAGCAACUCACAAUGCUUUUUACAAUAUUACAUAUUUCUGCCUUCAUUUUGGUUCCCUGUUUCUUGGAUGAUAAUGAUGAUGCUUUUUUGUGAACCUGAUUAAGAUUAUGAUGAUGAGAAGUUCUCAUUGAGAACAAGUGAAGAUAAGUAUUUCUGAGUUUUUUGGAAGAUCCCUAUUGGAGGGCCUCAGGGGAUAACAUGAAUGAUGAAGAUGUGAAAAAUUGCUUGUCUUCAUAUUGAUUCUCACAUAUGUUGCCAGUUUGUAGUUGUAGUCAAUGUUAUUAUAACAUUGAUAAAAUACAAACUCAAUCUGAAUCUGUAUUGUUGCGACCAUUUCAAGUCAAUUGACUAUUGGUCUCAUCAACUGCCGUGCUUCAAAAGAUGAACACUUUUGCUGGCUAAUCACUGGUUCCAUGGGUUAUCUCAUCAUUAUUUAAUCGUACAAUUUCAAUAUUCGUAAUAAUUCUGUCUUAACCGAUUAGUUUCGAACAAAUUUUUUUCUUUUUCUGAGUAGAUUUUAUUGAUCACUAAAGCACCGUGUCAUUAUGCACACCAAUGCGGUAAUUGUUUACCCAAUUUUUCAUUGCAUUUCAGGUAAAGAUUAGUAAAAAAAGAGAUCUUUUUACCUCUUUUUAAGCUCAUUCCACUUUUUAAUCAUCGUUAAUCUGAUGGAUUGCAUUCAUACAUUCAUGUAGUUUUAUCGUUUUCAAGCCUUGAUAAAUAACCAGAACACAUUUCUUUGAAUUUAAUCUGGAAUCAGACAAUUUUCCCUGUCAAUCUGCAUUUAAAAACAACUCUCUGUAAACACAAAAUGUAACCAAGUUUUGUUUCCCAUUUCAUUUCAUUUUCUUGUUUUUUUAUUCCUUUGGUGAAAAGAUAAAGAUGAAAAUGUUUUUGAAC